rnacentral:lncRNA from 10 species
UGGGGUUAUAAUACAGGAAUUGUGGGUAAGUACAGUCACUUCUGCUCCAUGAAAGUGAGGUCAUCAUUCGUUUCAGGAAGUUGAGUGAGGCCUGAGACAGCAAUGUUUCGUUUAGCCUGGCGGUGGCCCUCCUUGUCUUCAAGAAGAGCAUCCGUGGCUAGCAGUGGAAGAUGGGGUUGGGCCCCAGGAGUGUGAAAUUGGGAAGUAAUUCAAAAUGUAUGUGCCUAGCAUUCCUUUUAUGUAACAUGAGGGGAAUAGAAGUACCAAACCGAUGCAGUUCAGUGGAGAAUUAAAUGAGAUAGUCACAAGUAAAAGGUGAGACGCGAUCUUACUGCAUUGACCAGGAUGGUCUCAAACUCCUGGCUACAGGCUAUCCUCCUGCCUCUGUCUCCCAAAGCGCUGGGAUUACAAGCGUGAGCCACCAGGCCUGGCCCAAUUGCUUCUUAACAACUUACUAUUCUUUGUUCACUACAGUGUAUACAUAACUGACUUUUUAUUUGGAUCUUCAUUUUGUAAUGAAGGCUCUGGUCACAUGUAAGACUUGUAUUAAAUAAAUUUGCCUGCUGUUCUGUUAAUCUGUGUUAUGCUAAUUUAAUUCUUGAGCCCAGCUGGGUCCUGGAGAGGAUAGAGUGAAAUUUUGUGGCAGCUACGUAAGUCAAUGAAAUUGGAAACAGAAAAACAAUCUUUAAAAAUCAAUAAAAUCAUAAACUUAUUCUUUGAGAAGAUCAAUAUAGUUUAUAAACCUUUCAACUGACUCACCCACAGGGAAAAAGAAGAAAACAAAAAUCAGGAGGGAGGGAAUGUUAUUACAAAUUUUGCGGAUAUUAAAAGGAUUAUAAGGGAACAUUACAAACAACUCCUUGUCCAUAAAUUGAUCAAUUUACAUGACAUGGAAUAUUACUUGAAAGGCACAAACUACCAAAGCUCACUCAGGAAGAAUGGAUAACCUAGAUACUUGCGUGUAUGUAUGUGUGUGCAUACAUACAAUUUUUACACACACACACACACACACACAUAUAUAUAUAUAUAUGCACAGUUAAUUUUUUCUAUCUUUUGUAGAGAUGGGUUUUUACCAUGUUGCCUGGGCUGGUCUUGAACUCCUGGGCUCAAGCGCUCUGCCCACCUUGGCCUCCCAAAGUGCUGGGAUUACAGGCUUGAAACACUGCACCUGCCUGGCCUGAUAUAUAUUUCAAAACUGAUUUAAUAGAUAAAGCCUUCCAACAACAACAAUAAAAAAAACAAUAUUGAGAUGAAUUCAUUGGUGGAUUCUACUAAACAUUUAAAGAGUAAAGAUGUGAAUUUUAAAUAAACCCAGAAACAAAAAGAGAAGGGAACACCCA